CCUACGGGAGGCAGCAGUGGGGAAUAUUGCGCAAUGGGGGAAACCCUGACGCAGCAACGCCGCGUGGAGGAUGAAGGCCUUCGGGUCGUAAACUCCUGUCUUUGGGGACGAUAAUGACGGUACCCAAGGAGGAAGCCACGGCUAACUACGUGCCAGCAGCCGCGGUAAU
rnacentral:rRNA from 1 species